UGGGGAAUAUUGCACAAUGGAGGGAACUCUGAUGCAGCGACGCCGCGUGAACGAAGAAGGCUUUCGAGUCGUAAAGUUCUUUUAUAUGGGAAGAUAAUGACGGUACCAUAAGAAAAAGCCCCGGCUAACUACGUGCCAGCAGCCGCGGUAAUACGUAGGGGGCUAGCGUUGUCCGGAAUCACUGGGCGUAAAGGGUUCGCAGGCGGAAAUGCAAGUCAGGUGUAAAAGGCAGUAGCUUAACUGCUGUAAGCAUUUGAAACUGCAUAUCUUUAGAAGAGUAGAGGUAAGUGGAAUUUUUAGUGUAGCGGUGAAAUGCGUAAAUAUUAAAAAGAAUACCGGUGGCUAAGGCGACUUACUGGGCUCAUUCUGACGCUGAGGAACGAAAGCGUGGGUAGCAAACAGG
rnacentral:rRNA from 1 species